rnacentral:rRNA from 1 species
UACGGAGGGUGCGAGCGUUGUCCGGAUUUAUUGGGCGUAAAGAGCUCGUAGGCGGCCUUUCGCGUCGACCGUGAAAACCCGCAGCUCAACUGCGGGCUUGCGGUCGAUACGGGCAGGCUGGAGUUCGGUAGGGGAGACUGGAAUUCCUGGUGUAGCGGUGAAAUGCGCAGAUAUCAGGAGGAACACCGGUGGCGAAGGCGGGUCUCUGGGCCGAUACUGACGCUGAGGAGCGAAAGCGUGGGGAGCGAACAGG